AGAUAUAGUCUUUAAACUCAAAGAAUUUGGCGGUAUUAUAAUCUUUUUAGAGGAAUCUGUCUCGUAAUCGAUAGUCCGCGUUGAACCUUACUUAUUUAAUUUUCUUGUAUACCGCUGUUUGAGGGAAAUACUUUUAGGUUUAUAUUUUCUUGAUAAAUUAAUAAUUAAAAUUUCAAGUCAAGGUGCAGUAAUGAAUAAGUUGAAUGAUGGAUUACAAUAAAUUUUAUUUAUUAUGAUGGAUUAUUAUUUAAUAGUAAUAUGAAGGUGGAUUUAAUUGUAAUUUUUUGAAGAUUGUUGAAAUGAAUAUGGCUCUAUAAUAUGUACACAUCGC
rnacentral:rRNA from 1 species